CAGGCCGUCGAUUUUUAUCACUAAAAACACAUUUUCUCAACUCCUGCUUCCAAAGUUCAGAAACGCAUGUCUUCCCCAAAUUCAAGCUAGGUAUUUUUAUCACUAAAAACGCUUUCUCUUCAACACCGCCUCCGUCCGACACCACCACCGGCGACCAGCAUCGCCUACCCUCUCUCUCUUCCUUCUUCUCUUUCUUCCCCAUUUCUCCAUUUCUUUGUUCCUUCGUGCGACACCCCUGUUCGUGGAGUCACCCUUUGUCCGCGUCUUCAAGCACCGACAAGCAACCACCAGUGGCGGCGACCUUCUGUGCCACCGCGACAUCACCACCACCCCACUGCCUCUCCGUUCUUCUUCCUCCUUUCAUCAAUGCAGUGAUAUUCUAUAGCUUUUUUUGCGUACUUGGACAUUGAUGGUGAAGAGGAUGGCUUUGGAAAUAUGAAGGAAGACAAGGGUAGUUUGGGAAGUGAGCAGAAAAAUAUUAGAUGCAUCAUUUGUUAUUAGAUUUAUGGUACUCCUGUAUAUUAUGGGAAAACAAAUUCAAUUAGCAUGUACAUUAUUGAGAAGAAAAACUGCUAUCAUAUCAAAAUCUGUGUUAUAAAACUUAUUUA